rnacentral:rRNA from 1 species
CACACCGCCCGUCGCUACUACCGAUUGAAUGGCUCAGUGAGGCUUUCGGACUGGCCUAGAGAGGUCGGCAACGACCACUUCGGGCCGGAAAGUUAUCCAAACUCGGUCAUUUAGAGGAAGUAAAAGUCGUAACAAGGUCUCCGUUGGUGAACCAGCGGAGGGAUCAUUAUAGAGUUUUAAACUCCCAAACCCAUGUGAACUUACCACUGUUGCCUCGGCGGAGCUACCCGGAAGCCGUUACCCUGUAGCGGUUACCCUGUAGCCCGUCGGUGGACCACUAAACUCUGUUUUUAUGUAUUUCUGAGCGUCUUAUUUUAAUAAGUCAAAACUUUCAACAACGGAUCUCUUGGUUCUGGCAUCGAUGAAGAACGCAGCGAAAUGCGAUAAGUAAUGUGAAUUGCAGAAUUCAGUGAAUCAUCGAAUCUUUGAACGCACAUUGCGCCUACUAGUAUUCUAGUAGGCAUGCCUGUUCGAGCGUCAUUAAGUCCCUUAAGCCCUAGGCUUAGUAUUGGGAAUCUACGCGCGGCGAGUAGUAAUACUUGUCCUGUAGUUCCUUAAAGACAACGGCGGAGACGUAUGUGUCCCUGAGCUUAGUAAUUUUUCUAGCUUCUGGAGCGCUGCGGUUCUUGCCGUAAAACCCCCAAAUUUUAAUGGUUUGACCUCGGAUCAGGUAGGAAUACCCGCUGAACUUAAGCAUAUCAAUAAGCGGAGGAAAAGAAACCAACAGGGAUUGCCCUAGUAACGGCGAGUGAAGCGGCAACAGCUCAAAUUUGAAAUCUGACUUUCGGGUCCGAGUUGUAAUUUGUAGAGGAUGCUUUUGGUGCGGUACCUUACGAGUUCCCUGGAACGGGACGCCUUAGAGGGUGAGAGCCCCGUACGUUUGAAUACCAAUCCUCUGUAAAGCUCCUUCGACGAGUCGAGUAGUUUGGGAAUGCUGCUCUAAAUGGGAGGUAAAUUUCUUCUAAAGCUAAAUACCGGCCAGAGACCGAUAGCGCACAAGUAGAGUGAUCGAAAGAUGAAAAGCACUUUGAAAAGAGGGUUAAAUAGCACGUGAAAUUGUUGAAAGGGAAGCGUUUAUGACCAGACUUUUUCUUAGCGGAUCAUCCGGUGUUCUCCACCGGUGCACUUCGUUAGGUUUAGGCCAGCAUCGGUUUUCGUAGAGGGAUAAAAGCAGCGGUAAUGUGGCCCCCUCCGGGGGGUGUUAUAGACCGUUGUAUAAUACCUUUAUGGGGACCGAGGUUCGCGCAUCUGCAAGGAUGCUGGCGUAAUGGUCAUCAGCGACCCGUCUUGAAACACGGACCAAGGAGUCGAACAUUUGUGCAAGUAUUUGGGUGUUAAACCCUCAUGCGUAAUGAAAGUGAACGGAGGUGGGAGCCUUAGGGUGCACCAUCGACCGAUCCUGAUGUUUUCGGAUGGAUUUGAGUAAGAGCAUAACUGUUCGGACCCGAAAGAUGGUGAACUAUGCGUGGAUAGGGUGAAGCCAGAGGAAACUCUGGUGGAGGCUCGCAGCGGUUCUGACGUGCAAAUCGAUCGUCAAAUCUGCGCAUGGGGGCGAAAGACUAAUCGAACCAUUAACACCAGCGGUAAAUUUGAUUUACUAGGUGGUUAAGAGGUGGCCCGAGAGGGCUGGAAAUACAACCUAGGUCGGACUGAGCUACCCUGUAGCGAGGUUGCGGCCGACACUGCUAAAUUGCGGGGACCUCCUUUCAAACGGUUGUAGGCUACCGCGGCGCGCUGAAAAGCGUGGCCGCACCAAGGAUAACGACCUUGGGUAUGGUAAUAACGCCUGCGACUUGGAAGACCUGCAGCCAACCCCUUAAAAGGGGAGAGUUCACAGACUAAACAGCAGUGGGUCGGUUACCCUGUAGCCGGUCUAAGACAUAGUCGAUCCAGGCCCUGAAAAGGUGUCUAACUAUA